rnacentral:rRNA from 1 species
ACGCUCGACACCUACGGGAGGUAGCAGUGGGGAAUAUUGCACAAUGGGGGAAACCCUGAUGCAGCGACGCCGCGUGAGCGAAGAAGUAUUUCGGUAUGUAAAGCUCUAUCAGCAGGGAAGAAACUGACGGUACCUGACUAAGAAGCACCGGCUAAAUACGUGCCAGAGCCGCGGUAAUCUGAGCGGGCGUGGCAAGGC